rnacentral:rRNA from 1 species
GAUAACCUGCCUGUAUGACCGGGAUAACAGUUGGAAACGACUGCUAAUACCGGAUAGGCAGAGAGGAGGCAUCUCUUCUCUGUUAAAGUUGGGACACAACGCAAACAGAUGGAUCUGCGGUGCAUUAGCUAGUUGGUGAGGUAACGGCCCACCAAGGCGAUGAUGCAUAGCCGGCCUGAGAGGGCGAACGGCCACAUUGGGACUGAGACGCGGCCCA